AACAGGGCCAUCGAUUUGAUUUCCUAAAGGAUUCUCAUCUGGAGUUGGCUUCUUCAUCACCCAUUUCAGGUCUGGUCCAGCAUCCCCAGGCAUGUGGCAAUGGCAGAGCCCUACGUGAAUCCUGGCAUGGGUCCACUGAGCAGCACUGGUGAAUUCUGGCUCUGGAGCUUGGGGUUUUUAAAAGCUGGCAUUUUGUGAGGACACUUGAUGGCAGCUGGAGGCUUCGAGAGGCGAAGUGGCUUUCUCAAAGGCGCAUAUCCGGGAAGCAGUGAGCCUAGGAUUUGAACACAGGCAGCCUGCGGCAGGAGCCUGCACAGCUAACUACUAUGCUCCUUGUAAGGACACAGACCACAUGAGGAGCUGCAGAGAGGUGGAAAGUCGAGCUAAGUCGAUCCAUGGCCUGAGAGAGGCUCUGGCUAGGAGACCACCAGAAACAGUUUGCCAACCCCUGCUCUAGAAGGUAAACUUCUGGAGGACAAAGCUAUUGUCUCUUUGCUUCCCGCUCUGUCCACGGAACUUAGUCUGAUUCCUGCGCAGGGUGAUCUUCUGACAGGGAUGGUGAAGACUAGGUCCCUGCCCACCUGGAGCUAACAUUCCAGAGGAAGCUAAUGGCUUUUGGGGUUGUUUCCACUUUUUGGCAGUGAAAGUCCUUGCCCUUAAACACUGGUCUGGGUCACUCAGCCCACUCCCCAUCUGAGGGAGAGCCCUUGGGCACCUCAGCUCUGCUCCUCAGCUCCAUGUCCUCAUCUGUACACUGGAGGCACACAGAGGGACCACCAUGUGAAGAGUACAAGCUAAGGAGAGAGGCCUCAGGGGAAAGCAACUCUGCUGGCAUCUUGAUCUUGGACUUCCAGCCUCCAGAACCGUGAGAAAGUAAAUUUGUGUUGUUUAAGUGGAAAAAAAAAAAGCUCACAAAAUUACUGGAAAUUUAACAAUCGGCUCUCACAAGCCAGUAUAUGCUGGAUUCAGCACACUAUUGCCUCCAACCCCUGGGCCAAUGGGAGCCCAUGGAAGUUCCUCAGAUCAGCUCUGAAGCCGUCCCCUUGCUGGUCUCUGAAGAAUUCCUCUUAGAAGGCACCUACACUGCAGGCCCAACCAAGAUGGCUGCCCUUUUUAUCAACUCUUAGAGUCCUGAGUGUGAAUGGGAGGUAGCCAGCCUACAAAUGCAUCCUUUGCUGUGCGUCACCUCCUCCAGGGAAGUUAAGUUUGUCCUGUCUGAGUGUGGACUGCUUCAGAAAGAGGAUUCAAAGAUAAUCAAUUUUCAGCCUGUGGACUACUUGAGAAAAUUCUAGCAACUGUCGCAAAGGAAGUUUUAUGUGAAAGGAAAAGUACUCAGAGGUCCAAAGAAAUCAGAGUGGGGAAUUCCACUUUCCUUCAGGAACACUGAAGAGAAGUUCCAGAGACCAAAUCUAUUCUGUUGACUUCCUGUCAAGGCAUUGUGGGUAACCUCCUCCCACAACAAGAAGCCAGGUCAGGGCCGAGGCCCCAUGCAGGCUUGAGGCCUUCUUGCUCCUGUGCUCUGUGCUGGGCCUGGCCGUAGAGAUAGCCGGCAGGGCGCCGUUCCUUUCAGCUGCCUCUCCCCUGCCUCACCCAUGACUCCCCUGGGUUUCUGUUGCUCCAGGGGAGCCCAUUGGAGCAUUAUCCUGGAAGAAAGCCAUCUGGGCUGAAUGAGCAGCGUCUGCUUUCUGAGGGAGCCGCUCUGCUGCCCCAGUGACUGCCGGCUCCUGGCCCUGGGCCAUUGUGGAAGGACAAAGCUGACACACACAACAAUCCCACGACAAUCUCCUCUCAGCUCUUUCUUCUUUAUUAUUGUUAUUAUUACCUUUCAAACACUCCAGCUUCUUGGGCUCGUUAUCUCUGGUGAGGCCUUUGGCCAAAGUGUGCGGGGGUCAUUUCUCCCUCCUCUGCACCCCCACGGCCUCAUCGGCCCAGCUUCACUGCUGUCUCUUUGACAGAAUACAUAAAACCGAUACUGAUCGGUUAACAUACAUGACAUCUUUAAACUUUAAUCCGUUUUCCCUCUCUCGACGCGGCGGGCCGGCCUCUGUAGAGGUGCCCAUGCAUUGUUCCCUGUCAAAGCCUUCUUGAGUGGGUUUCCCACUGAGUCACUUUUGUGUGAGUCAAAUCAAGAUUAUAGGUAGCGGAGAAGAGAAAGCCGAGAAGAGAAGGUUAGCCCCUCAUUUUAGACUUUAAGAAAAAUCUGCCAGCAGGGGCCAGUCGGAGUGGGUAACGUACAUGAAAGACCAAGUCCAAGCUGGGUCGCCCGUGUCACCAGAGGAGUUUUUCAGGGAGAAGCACACAAAACACGCAUUGUCGUGGUCGCACACAGAGACAUAAAUUUAGGAACAUGUUCGCCCUUCGCCUGAACAUAGUUAGCUCUGAUAAUGAGGAACAAUGAGCUGGAAUGAAACCUCCUGGACAGAGGAGAGAAAGCAUUGAUGACACUUGCUCAUUCUCCCACAAAAGUGGCUUCUCUCUUCCUCCUCUCAUCUCCCUCCGGUGCCAAAUGACCCUCAGCCACUCACCACUGUCCUCCUGCACCCUCGCUUGGUGGAAUAGUGGAAAGGUGAGGUGUCCAAUAGGAGGACAGUGGCCUUGCUGGCUCAUCCAAACUGGAGAAAGAUCCUUCUUGGCAUCUGAAGUGCCUUUGGAGAAAGCUCCGUCAACGGUGCUACUUACAUAAUGGACAAGGGGUGCAGCUACCAAUUCUUACUCUCCAAAUGGCAGUGGAAAGUUGAGAUGGGGGCGCCUGGGUUCCGUCCUGGCUCUACUAAUUUUAGUUGUGGGGCUUGGUAAAUUCCUUCAUUUCUGAAUACAUUUCCAUUACUUUCCUCUUCUUAAAUGAGAGAGGACCGCCUCACAGGCUUGACAGCAGGACUGAACAUCUGUAAAUCGUAC
rnacentral:lncRNA from 1 species